UUUCAUUUCCCUCCCAAAUUUCUCUCUCUUUGAAUCUCUCUAUUCUUCACACAAACCUUCAUUUUCUUCACACAUUCAUGAUCAUGGAAGAGUUUUUAGCAAGAAUCAAGCAUUACUUUGGUCAAUUCAGUGCAGAUUCAAGCUACACAAGUGCAUGAACAUGAAGAUGGAUUUCUGAAAUUGGAGUGGAUUGAGGUGGUUUC
rnacentral:lncRNA from 1 species